AGGGAAUAUUGGACAAUGGGCGAAAGCCUGAUCCAGCAAUGCCGCGUGAGUGAUGAAGGCCUUAGGGUUGUAAAGCUCUUUUACCCGGGAUGAUAAUGACAGUACCGGGAGAAUAAGCUCCGGCUAACUCCGUGCCAGCAGCCGCGGUAAUACGGAGGGAGCUAGCGUUGUUCGGAAUUACUGGGCGUAAAGCGCACGUAGGCGGCUAUUCAAGUCAGAGGUGAAAGCCCACGGCUCAACCGUGGAACUGCCCUUGAUACUGCACGACUCGAAUCCGGGAGAGGGUGGCGGAAUUCCAGGUGUAGGAGUGAAAUCCGUAGAUAUCUGGAGGAACAUCAGUGGCGAAGGCGGCCACCUGGACCGGUAUUGACGCUGAGGUGCGAAAGCGUGGGGAGCAAACA
rnacentral:rRNA from 1 species